CCACACUUGCUAAACUUGUUUAUAAUGAUUCAUCGAUUAUGAGAAAUUUUAGUACUUGUGCCUGGGUUACAAUAUCACAAGAUCAUAGUGUAGAACGCAUUGUUCUAAAUCUUCUAGCUUCCAUAAAAAAAAUUUCAAAUGCUGAGAGCGACAUCCCUAUGGAAACCUUAAUUUGCGAGUACCUAAAAUAUCGAAGGUAUCUUAUUGUAAUGGAUGACAUGUGGAGUACGAAAGCUUGGGAUGACGUAAAGAGUUUGUUUCCUGACUCCGGUAAUGGCAGUAGGAUCAUAGUAACCACAAGGCUGCAGGAUGUGGCUGAUUAUGUCAGCUCUUCUGAUGACAUUCAUACUAUGAGUUUGCUGGAUGAACACCAUAGCUGGAAUUUGCUAAAGCAGAAGGUGUUCGGAGAUAAAGACAUUCCUAUUGAAUUGGAAGAUAUUGGGAAGAAAAUUGUUCAAAAUUGCGGGGGACUCCCCCUUUCAAUCGUGGUGGUGGCAGGACUCUUAUCUAAGAUUCCGAUUCAUACUCGAUCCUCAUGGAAGCAAAUUGCUGCAAACGGCGGGCAGCUUGAAACAAUAAUUGAUUCGAGUUAUACCCAUUUACCUAAUCACUUGAAGCUGUGUCUUUUAUAUAUGGCUGGAUUUCCAGAAGAUCAGGAGAUUCGUGUUACAGAACUUGUUAAUCUUUGGAUAUCUGAAGGUUUUGUAACACUUUCAAAUGGAUCUAAAAGCUUGGAAGAAGAGGCAGAAGAUUGCUUGGAAGAUCUUGUCGAAAGAAGUUUAGUUUUGGUCAACAACAGGAAGUUUGAUGGUAAAAUAAAGUGUUGCAGCCUUCACGAUAUUGUGCGGGAAUUCUGUGUAAGGAAGGCUGCGAAAGAGAAGGUAAUUCUUUCUACUAUGGAUUACUUACCUACGCCUAUCCUGCGAAGGCAUUUUGUUCCACGUCUCAUAAAAGAUCAUCACAGCAUAAGUGCUAGUUCGUAUGAUCUACAUCUCAAAGACUAUGUGCAUAGCUCACACAUCCGUACCAUAAUAUGUACUCCGAAGAAAGGGUAUAGAUCUGAGGGCGUUGUAGAGAAGUUUAGUUCGCUUAAGGUGCUUCAUGUUUUACGUAGAAGCGAUUAUUGGGAUUGGGAGCCAGGUCAAGUGUUCGAUCUGAUUCGUUUAACUUACCUUGCUUCCAACAUUCCCAAUAGUAUUGUUCCUUCAGCCAUAUCAAAGCUUCAGAAUCUUCAGUUUUUAAUUAUAUAUAGAUCUGAGGUUCGUUUGCCUAUGGAGAUUUGGAGGUUGCGACAAUUAAGAUAUCUUAUUGCCUUCUCAUUUCAACCCUUACCGAGCCCUGAGUGGGAACAAAAUCCCCUCUAUAACUUGCAGGCACUUUCACUGGCAACAGACUUGGUGUGCAGUAAAAGAAUGGUGGAAAUGAUUCCAAACAUUAAAAAGCUCGGAAUAUGUUACUCCAUGGAGAAGUUUGAUGCGGAUGCAGGCUAUUACCUCGACAAUCUUAAUUUGUUUUAUCAACUUGAGAAAUUGAAAUUGGAGAUGAGUGGAGGUUUUUUAUGGCGACAACUUGUUGAAACUGGAGGUCUAAACUUUCCUCUACAACUGAGAAGGUUAACCUUGAGUGGUGGGAAGCUUCCUUGGAAAUAUAUGGCAAUCAUUUGUUCAUUACCUAAUCUUCAAGUGCUUAAACUAAGAAACUAUGCUUACCAAGGAAAAUACUGGAACGCAUAUUACAAUUUAUUUCCUCAGCUGAGACUCUUGCUAAUUGACCAAUCAGAUUUGGUUUAUUGGAGAACUACACGUCACACCUUUCCGAAACUCGAGUGCCUAAUGCUUCGUCGGUGUCAUGGUCUAUAUGGGAUUCCAAGUGAAAUUGGAGACAUUCGCACACUUAAAUUGAUUGAGGUCGAUGAGCGGUCCAUGAGUCUUUUACACUCGGCAGAAAAGAUAAAGGAGUCUGGAAAGCGUGGCUUUCGAAUUCGUGUGAAGCGUUCCUGAUAUGCUGCUCUUUCAAGUCCAGUACUACUUUUCAGAGUUUCUAAAUGUUGAUGACAAUAACUUGGCUGACAUGGAUAACUCUUUCAAGUUCAGGUUAGAGAUUUAUUUAGAAACUUUUCUUUGUAGAAAUUAUUCAGAUUAGCUUUUUCCAGCUGUAGUGUUUUGAAUUGCUGUUGUUGAUAAUCUAGCUGAUCAAAUAUUCGACUGUUCAAAUUAAGAAGGCAGAGAGUUGAAGGAAGCAUUAUCGAAGAGCAUUAGCAUAAAUUUACAUAGGCUUGGCUUAUAUCUCCUUGUACUACUUUUCAGAGUUGCCAAAUGUUGAUGACGAUGACUUGGCCGACAUGGAUGAUGACUAUAUGCCCGAUGCUGAAGACACACGACAUAAUGAGAACACCGGCUGGUCUUCUCGUACAAGGUCCUUAAAACAAAAGAGAAAUCCGAGUUCUAAACCACAUCUGUGCUGGAAAGUUUCAGAAACAUAUUCAGGAAUGCAGGAGCUCAGCUUCUCUCUCUCUCUCUCUGAUUUAUUUGUGGAACUAGAUUCAUUCUUUCCAAGUGAUGCUUUCAGAGAUGGUUAAAGCUGGCUAAUAAGGUGGUUGUUGCAUGUAACUGUUCAACUCAGUAGAGAUUGUUUUACCCAAUCAUACUAUAUUUUGUAUCAUAUAUUUAUAUAUCUUGUAAUUUCAAAGUUUUUGUUGCUUGGUUC